GAUGAACGCUAGCGGCAGGCUUAAUACAUGCAAGUCGAGGGGCAGCAGGGUGGUAGCAAUACCACUGCUGGCGACCGGCAAACGGGUGCGGGACACGUACGCAACUUACCCUGAACUGGGGGAUAGCCCGGGGAAACCCGGAUUAAUACCCCGUAACCCUCGGAGGUGGCAUCCACUUUUAGUUAUAGCUCCGGUGGUUCAGGAUGGGCGUGCGGCUGAUUAGGUAGUUGGUUGGGGUAACGGCCCACCAAGCCAACGAUCAGUAACUGGUGUGAGAGCACGACCAGUCACACGGGCACUGAGACACGGGCCCGACUCCUACGGGAGGCAGCAGUAAGGAAUAUUGGGCAAUGGAGGCAACUCUGACCCAGCCAUGCCGCGUGGAGGAUGAAGGCCCUCUGGGUUGUAAACUUCUUUUACUUGGGACGAAACCACUUUUUUCUAAGGGUGUUGACGGUACCAAGGGAAUAAGCACCGGCUAACUCCGUGCCAGCCGCCGCCGUAA
rnacentral:rRNA from 1 species